rnacentral:tRNA from 1 species
AAAAUCCGUCGACUUUCAAAAUCGUGAGGGUUCAAGUCCCUCUAUCCCCAAAAACGCCUAUUUGACUCCCAAUUAUGCUAUCCCU